rnacentral:piRNA from 1 species
UCUUGUGUGUGGCGUCGUACCGACGACGG